rnacentral:rRNA from 1 species
GUAGGUGGCAAGCGUUGUCCGGAAUUAUUGGGCGUAAAGCGCGCGCAGGCGGUUCUUUAAGUCUGAUGUGAAAGCCCACGGCUCAACCGUGGAGGGUCAUUGGAAACUGGAGAACUUGAGUACAGAAGAGGAAAGCGGAAUUCCACGUGUAGCGGUGAAAUGCGUAGAGAUGUGGAGGAACACCAGUGGCGAAGGCGGCUUUCUGGUCUGUAACUGACGCUGCGGCGCGAAAGCGUGGGGGAGCAAACAGGAUUAGAUACCCUGGUAGUCCACGCCGUAAACGAUGAGUGCUAAGUGUUAGGGGGUUUCCGCCCCUUAGUGCUGCAGCUAACGCAUUAAGCACUCCGCCUGGGAGUACGGCCGCAAGGCUG